GUGGAUUAGAUACCCUGGUAGUCCUAGCCGUAAACGAUGGGCACUAGGUGUGGGGGGUCAUCGACUCCCUCCGUGCCGAAGCUAACGCAUUAAGUGCCCCGCCUGGGGAGUACGGCCGCAAGGCUAAAACUCAAAGGAAUUGACGGGGGCCCGCACAAGCAGCGGAGCAUGUGGCUUAAUUCGACGCAACGCGAAGAACCUUACCAGGGCUUGACAUGCAGGGAAAAGCGGCGGAAACGUCGUGUCCGCAAGGGCCCUGCACAGGUGGUGCACGGUCGUCGUCAGCU
rnacentral:rRNA from 1 species